rnacentral:rRNA from 1 species
UACGUAGGUGGCGAGCGUUGUCCGGAAUUACUGGGCGUAAAGGGCGCGUAGGCGGAUCGUUAAGUUGGACGUGAAAUACCCCGGCUCAACUGGGGGGCGACGUCCAAAACUGGCGGACUAGAGUGCAGGAGAGGAAAGUAGAAUUCCCAGUGUAGCGGUGAAAUGCGUAGAUAUUGGGAGGAAUACCGGUGGCGAAGGCGGCUUUCUGGACUGUAACUGACGCUGAGGCGCGAAAGCUGGGGGAGCGA